rnacentral:sRNA from 1 species
UGAGUCCAGAAGAGUUAAGACAAAUUGAAGCAAAAAUCAUUUUGGGCAACACAUAUCAUUUGUGGUUACAACCCGGAAAUGAUAUUAUCAAACACGCUGGGGGAUUACAUAAAUUCAUGAAUUGGGAUGGUCCGAUUCUUACAGAUUCAGGCGGUUUCCAAGUGUUUAGUUUAAGUAAUUUACGUAAAAUUACAGAAGAAGGCGUGGAAUUUAGACAUCAUACUAAUGGGUCUAAAUUAUUUUUG